CUCGUAGGCGGUUUGUCGCGUCGGGAGUGAAAUCCACUGGCUUAACUGGUGCUUGCGUUUCGAUACGGGCAGACUGGAGGUAUGCAGGGGAGAACGGAAUUCCUGGUGUAGCGGUGAAAUGCGCAGAUAUCAGGAGGAACACCGGUGGCGAAGGCGGUUCUCUGGGCAUGUCCUGACGCUGAGGAGCGAAAGUGUGGGGAGCGAACA
rnacentral:rRNA from 1 species